rnacentral:rRNA from 1 species
GCAUAACGCGAAGAACCUUACCUACUCUUGACAUCCAGAGAACUUAGCAGAGAUGCUUUGGUGCCUUCGGGAACUCUGAGACAGGUGCUGCAUGGCUGUCGUCAGCUCGUGUUGUGAAAUGUUGGGUUAAGUCCCGCAACGAGCGCAACCCUUAUCCUUUGUUGCCAGCGGUUAGGCCGGGAACUCAAAGGAGACUGCCAGUGAUAAACUGGAGGAAGGUGGGGAUGACGUCAAGUCAUCAUGGCCCUUACGAGUAGGGCUACACACGUGCUACAAUGGCAUAUACAAAGAGAAGCGACCUCGCGAGAGCAAGCGGACCUCAUAAAGUAUGUCGUAGUCCGGAUUGGAGUCUGCAACUCGACUCCAUGAAGUCGGAAUCGCUAGUAAUCGUGGAUCAGAAUGCCACGGUGAAUACGUUCCCGGGUCUUGUACACACCG